rnacentral:rRNA from 1 species
UACAGAGGGGGCAAGCGUUGUUCGGAAUUACUGGGCGUAAAGGGCGCGUAGGCGCCUGUUAAGUCGAACGUGAAAUCCCCGGGCUCAACCCGGGAACUGCGUCCGAUACUGGCAGGCUUGAAUCCGGGAGAGGUGAGUGGAACUGCGAGUGUAGAGGUGAAAUUCGUAGAUAUUCGCAAGAACACCAGUGGCGAAGGCGGCUCACUGGCCCAUACUGACGCUGAGGCACGAAAGCGUGGGGAG